GGAGGUAUGAGUGCUGGGCUGCCAAAGUUUGUUCCUGUCAACUUAAAAGACAUUGAAGCUGCUGGAUUUCAAGAGGGCGAUGAGAUAACGUUGGAUACUCUGACAAAGAAAGGCUUGAUCAAUCCAUCUGGUAGAGAAAGAAAGCUACCUUUGAAGAUUUUGGGCGAGGGGGAUUUGACGGUAAAGUUGAACAUAAAGGCGAGAUCCUUUUCAGCAGCAGCAAAAGAGAAGCUUGAGGCUGCUGGGUGCACUCUAACCGUACUUCCUGGUCGGAAGAAAUGGGUAAAACCAUCGGUUGCGAAGAACAUGGCUCGUGCAGACGAGUACUUCGCCAAGAAAAGAGCAACUGCUGCUGCGGCAACAGCUGAAUCUGUG
rnacentral:misc_RNA from 1 species